rnacentral:rRNA from 1 species
UGGUCAAGCUGUAAAGGGCGCAAGGGGAAUGCCUUGGCACUGAGAGCCGACGAAGGACGCGACAAGCUGCGAUAAGCUACGGGGAGCCGCAAAUGGGCUUUGAUCCGUGGAUUUCCGAAUGGGGAAACCCGGCAGAGCAAUACUCUGUCAACAUGUACUGAAUACAUAGGUACAUGUGGGGAACCGCCUGAACUGAAACAUCUA